rnacentral:rRNA from 1 species
AUAACCUCAACUCAGGCAAGACUACCCGCUGAACUUAAGCAUAUCAGUAAGCGGAGGAAAAGAAAACAACAGUGAUUCCCUCAGUAACUGCGAGUGAAGUGGGAAAAGCCCAUCGUUGAAUCUUCCUGGACCAUGGACAGGACGAAAUGUAACGGUAUGGAUAGGUCUACUACCAGCGAGGUUUGAUCAAAGUCCUCCGGGUUGAGGUGCCAUAGAAGGUGAUAGUCCUGUGUGUGAUUGAACAAAGUUGGGUAUGUGGCCAAUUCCUAGAGUCGGGUUGUUUGGGAUUGCAACCUAAAGUAGGUGGUAAACUCCACCCAAGGCUAAAUAUGGACACGAAACCGAUAGCGAACAAGUACUGUGAGGGAAAGUUGAAAAGAACUCUGAAAAGAGAGUUAAAAGUACGUGAAACCGCUUACGGGGAAGCGGAAGGCAGUGUCGUGAUCUUGUUGUAAUGGUGACUUUGAUAUUUGUCGACAAGUUGCGGUGUGAGUGACUUGUUAUUGGUAGGUAUUGAGUCAUUAGUUAUACUGGAUGCGUCAGGUCUAUUGGUAUUACAUGUGGUGGAAUUGUUCUUUAUCUACGCGUAGAAAUGCGUGUASAGUGGCUUCAACAAGACCCUGACAGUUGUUUUGGGRAUUGSUGYUGCGUGGAUGCAAUCAAUCACAUAUACUAAUAUGUAAUGYGRGGAAGCGUUAGUGACUGUUGAUUUACUUCGGUCGGCUGUAGACCAUGCGGUUAUGUACGUUGAUUGCAGUGUGAUUACAYGUAYAUUUAUAUUGUGUGGURGAAUAGCAACUAGUGCUAGUAUCUGACGAGAUACCUAACCUUCCGACCCGUCUUGAAACACGGACCAAGGAGGCAGAAUCUAGAGCAAGUUGGAGGGUGGAAAACCCGACGGCGUAGUGAAAGCGAGAGAUGAGAUCUGUUAAACUGUGAAAAUGGUUUGAUGGCGCAUCAUCGGCCGGUCUUGACUAACCAUGUUUUGAUCGAGUUWGAGCUCUAGGUACUGGACCCGAAAGAUGGUGAACUAUACGUGAGCAGGGUGAAGCCAGAGGAAACUCUGGUGGAGGCUCGAAGCGAUUCUGACGUGCAAAUCGAUCGUUAGACUUGCGUAUAGGGGCGAUAGACUAAUCGAACUAUCUAGUAGCUGGUUCCCUUCGAAAUAUCCCUCAGGAUCGCUGAGACAUGUGUGAAACAGUUUCAUCGGGUAGAGCGAAUGAUUAGAGGAAUCGGGGAUAUAUUACUCUCGACCUAUUCUCAAACUACCAACCGGUGAGUAGCAUUGUUUGUAACUUGAGUGAAAUAAUGUGUGUGAAUGUUUGUGUCUCAAGUGGGCCAUUUUUGGUAAGCAGAACUGGCGAUGCGGGAUGAACCGAGAGUUGAGCUAAGGUGCCAAACGACACGUUGAUAGAUACCACAAAAGGAGUCGGUCGAUAAAGACAGCAGGGCGGUGGCCCUGAAAGUAGGAAUCCGCUAAGGAAUGUCUAACAACUCACCUGCCGAAUCGACCGGCCCUGAAAAUGAAUGGCGCUGAAUCGUGUGACCGAUGCUCAUCCUUUACUACUAGAAAUGUUUGGUAAAGGGUAGAAGGGCGCAACGGUAGCAAUAAAGUACAAAGUGUGAACUUGUAUGGAGCUGCCGUUGGUGUAGAUCUUGGUGGUAGUAGCAAUGAUAAAAGUGAGUAAAAACCUUUUAGGCCGAAGUGGAGAAGGGUUUCACGUGAACAGCAGUUGGACGUGAGUUAGUCGGUCCUAAGCGGUUGCCUAACGGCUAUUACAAUGCUGACUUGUUUGUAUGGCUGUGCAGGAAUGCAUGGUUGUAUGGUGUAAAUGGGUCGGAAUCCGCGAAAGGGAAUCAGGUUAAUAUUCCUGAACCGGGCGUUGGAGACGCAAUCCUUGGCGCUGCAUGUUGCCUUUAUUGAUAAUGUGUUGGUGUUUGUGGGUUGCUUAGCGGUAACGCAAACAAUCUCGGAGACGUUGAUGUCUAUGGCGGGGAGAAUUAUCUUUUCUGUAUAACAGGCCAAAUUGUACCUUGGAAUCGAGUCAUUCGGAGAUGAGGUAAAAAGCCUGGAAGAGCAUGGCAAUUUUUGCAAUGUCCGCAGUAUAGGUAUCAACCCUUGAAAAUCCGAGGGAGUGGCUAAAUUUCACGCUCGUCCGUACCGAAUCCGCAUCAGGUCUCCUAGGUGUGCAGCCUCUGGCACUGGAACAAUGUAGGUAAGGGAAGUCGGCAAAAUGGAUCCGUAACUUUGGGAAAAGGAUUGGCUCUAAGGACCGGGCCAAUCGAGCUAGUAUUGCCUAGGUUAGUGGGUGUUGAACGGGACUUGUGUGUAUUGGUGUGUGUGUGUAAAAGCGUGUGCAUCAUAUGGAUAAGUUUGGUGAAACAAACGCUGGCCCUGGAAUGCCUGUGUGAACUUUUGAAUUGGUUGAUUGGUCGGUUGUGUGUGCUGUUGCUUUAUUGUGGUGGUUGCAUGCAGUUGGUUAGAUAUCAGCCGGUGGAGUUCUUUACGAGUGGCAAGCAUCGGUCUGCUUAGAACUGUUACUAACAUGGGGAAUCCGACUGUUUAAUUAAAACAAAGCAUUGCGAUGGCCUUAAGGGGUGUUGACGCAAUGUGAUUU